rnacentral:tRNA from 1 species
GGCUGGGUAGCUCAGUGGUAGAGCAGCCGACUCAUAACCGGCAGGUUCGUGGGUCCGAUCCCCACCCCAGCCACCG